CUGGCACUCUCUAGAGUUUACCUGACACUCUCUAUACUAUACCUGACACUCUCUAUAAUUUACCUGACACUCUCUAUAGUUUACCUGGCACUCUCUAUAGUUUACCUGACACUCUCUAUAGUUUACCUGGCACUCUCUAUAGUUUACUCUCUAUAGUUUACCUGACA